GCCGCAGUAGCUCAGUUGGUAGAGCAGUUGCCUUGUAAGCAUCAGGUCAGGCGUUCAAAUCGUCUCUGCGGCACCA
rnacentral:tRNA from 1 species